CCCUUAGAUGUCCUGGGCCGCACGCGCGUUACACUGAUGCAUUCAACGAGCUUAUAACCUUGGCCGAGAGGCCUGGGCAAUCUUGUUAACGUGCAUCGUGAUAGGGAUAGAUUAUUGAAAUUAUUAAUCUUGAACGAGGAAUUCCUAGUAAACGCAGAUCAUCAAUCUGCAUUGAUUACGUCCCUGCCCUUUGUACACACCGCCCGUCGCUGCAACUGAUUGGGUGACCUGGUGAACAUCUUGGACCGGUCCACUCAAUUUCGAGAGGACUGGAAAAGGCCGUAAAUCAGGUACAUCUAGAAAUUGCAAAAGUCGUAACA
rnacentral:rRNA from 1 species